AGUCGCCGCGGUAAUACGAAGGGUGCAAGCGUUAAUCGGAAUUACUGGGCGUAAAGCGUGCGUAGGCGGUGAGUUAAGUCUGCUGUGAAAUCCCCGGGCUCAACCUGGGAAUGGCAGUGGAUACUGGCUCGCUAGAGUGUGUCAGAGGAUGGUGGAAUUCCCGGUGUAGCGGUGAAAUGCGUAGAGAUCGGGAGGAACAUCAGUGGCGAAGGCGGCCAUCUGGGACAACACUGACGCUGAGGCACGAAAGCGUGGGGAGCAAACAGGAUUAGAGACCCCCGUAGUCCCUGUCUCUUAUACA
rnacentral:rRNA from 1 species